rnacentral:rRNA from 1 species
GACGAACGCUGGCGGCGUGCUUAACACAUGCAAGUCGAACGUGAUUUUUGUGGAAAUUCUUUCGGGAAUGGAAAUGAAAUGAAAGUGGCGAACGGGUGAGUAACACGUGAGCAACCUACCUUACACAGGGGGAUAGCCGUUGGAAACGACGAUUAAUACCGCAUGAGACCACAGAAUCGCAUGAUAUAGGGGUCAAAGAUUUAUCGGUGUAAGAAGGGCUCGCGUCUGAUUAGCUAGUUGGAAGGGUAAAGGCCUACCAAGGCGACGAUCAGUAGCCGGUCUGAGAGGAUGAACGGCCACAUUGGAACUGAGACACGGUCCAAACUCCUACGGGAGGCAGCAGUGGGGAAUAUUGCACAAUGGGGGGAACCCUGAUGCAGCGACGCCGCGUGAGCGAAGAAGGUUUUCGAAUCGUAAAGCUCUGUCCUAUGAGAAGAUAAUGACGGUAACAUAGGAGGAAGCCCCGGCUAAAUACGUG